GAGCAAAAAGAAAGAAAGAAACUUGGCACAGAAAAUCUCUAUUGAUUUUGUAUAUGGAGAUACCUAACUGCUCUUCAAUAGAGAUUUUCUGUGCCAAGUUUCUUUCUUUCUUUUUGCUC